rnacentral:rRNA from 1 species
UACGUAGGGGGCAAGCGUUGUCCGGAUUUAUUGGGCGUAAAGAGCGUGUAGGCGGCCAAGCAGGUCCGCUGUGAAAACUCGAGGCUCAACCUCGAGACGUCGGUGGAAACCGUUUGGCUAGAGUCCGGAAGAGGAGAGUGGAAUUCCCGGUGUAGCGGUGAAAUGCGUAGAGAUCGGGAAGAACAUCGGUGGCGAAAGCGCUCUACUGGACCGCAACUGACACUCAGGGACGAAAGCUAGGGGAGCGAAUGGG